UUUCUUUUUUCUAGGAUUUUUUUCAUUAGGACCACUGCCAAUUGAAAAUCAGCUCAUUCAACGCUUUAGUACUCUGUACUUACCAAACAAACAAUCUAGCACAACUGGUGUCAAUGGAGUACUCGACAGCAACCAUAUUUUCACAGCUCUCUUUAUUUCCCCCAAGAUUUCAAACAGAAAAUAGAGCUUACCCAUUCAAGCCAUGGAUGCAGAGAACUUCCCAACCUACCCGUUUCCAGUGUCACAAGAUGUAUGUUCCUGGUGUGUAAUCAGUAUAGUUAUCUUUUUUUGUGUUGCAAUUUUCAGAUUCAAGCAUUUGUUUAAUAACUGUAGUGUUCGUGUUCGCCUGUUUACACCUUGAUAUACUAAGAUUUAUGUUGACUUAUGCAGGAUUUGGCACGUCACCAGAAUCCACAGCAGCCAAACAUCUACACGACUUUUUCAACUAUAUUGCUGUUAAAAUUGUUGCUGCACAGCUUCAGGUUCAGUGCGUCCUCCUACUUAGCAAAUAGUUGUAGAGCAAUGCAUCUCAUAAGCAUGUCUCUGUAUGCCUACAUAUAGAUACAAGGAUAUAGAACAAAGGUGAAGUAUAGGUUGUUUUCUAGAUUUUAAUUUCGAUGCACAG
rnacentral:lncRNA from 1 species